AGAGCGAACGCUGGCGGCGUGCUUAACACAUGCAAGUCGAGUGCGCGCCUGUAGCAAUACAGGUGGCGCACGGCGCACGGGUGCGUAACACGUGGGUAAUCUGCCCUUCGAUGGGGAAUAACUCCGGGAAACCGAAGCUAAUUCCGCAUAACAUUCCUUGAACUUCGGUUUGGGACUCAAAGCCGUAAGGCGUCGGAGGAGGAACCCGCGCACGAUUAGCUAGUUGGUAGGGUAACGGCCUACCAAGGCUUUGAUCGUUAGCUGGU
rnacentral:rRNA from 1 species